GCAGUGAUGGUUCAAUGGUAGAAUUCUUGCCUUUUGUGCAGGAGAUCUGGGUUCAAUACCUGGACGGUGCA
rnacentral:tRNA from 1 species